UACAGAGGGUGCGAGCGUUGUCCGGAAUCACUGGGCGUAAAGGGCGCGUAGGCGGCCUGUUAAGUCGAACGUGAAAUCCCCGGGCUCAACCCGGGAACUGCGUCCGAUACUGGCAGGCUUGAAUCCGGGAGAGGGAUGCGGAAUUCCAGGUGUAGCGGUGAAAUGCGUAGAUAUCUGGAGGAACACCGGUGGCGAAGGCGGCAUCCUGGACCGGCAUUGACGCUGAGGCGCGAAAGCCAGGGGAGCAAACGGG
rnacentral:rRNA from 1 species